CCCUUUACAUCUUCAUCACAAAAAGUGAUUACAUUACCGACCCUCUGCCUCUUCGCGACGGCUGCCCCUGACGCUUCAGUCGAGCCCCCUGCGUUCCUCUCGGGCCGGGGGCAGCCCCCAGUGAUAGUGUGGAUCACGCCCGCGACGGGUCGAUUCUGCUCCCGAGGCUCCUGAGGGGCCGGGUCGACCGGACGCGAGUCUGCG
rnacentral:lncRNA from 1 species